UACAGAGGUCUCAAGCGUUGUUCGGAUUCAUUGGGCGUAAAGGGUGCGUAGGUGGCGCUGUAAGUCGGGUGUGAAAUUUCGGAGCUUAACUCCGAAACUGCAUUCGAUACUGCGGUGCUUGAGGACUGGAGAGGAGACUGGAAUCAUGGUGUAGCAGUGAAAUGCGUAGAGAUCAUGAGGAACACCAGUGGCGAAGGCGAGUCCCUGGACAACUCCUGACACUGAGGCACGAAAGCUAGGGGAGCAAACAGG
rnacentral:rRNA from 1 species